rnacentral:rRNA from 1 species
GUGACCUGCGGAGGAUCAUUAUUGUAUAACCGAGGUGCGAGGGCUGUCGCUGACCCGAAAGGUCGUGCACGCCCGAGUGCCCUCACACACAUCCAUCUCACCCCUAUGUGCACCACCGCGUGGGUCCCCCUUUGGCUUGUUCGGAGGGGGGCUUACGUUUUCACACAAACUUUGUAUGCAGUGUAGAAUGUAUUUUUUGUUUUUGCGAUCACGCAAUCAAUACAACUUUCAACAACGGAUCUCUUGGCUCUCGCAUCGAUGAAGAACGCAGCGAAAUGCGAUACGUAAUGUGAAUUGCAGAAUUCAGUGAAUCAUCGAAUCUUUGAACGCACCUUGCGCCCCUUGGCAUUCCGAGGGGCACACCCGUUUGAGUGUCGUGAAAUUCUCAAAAACCUUUUUCUUUUUGGGAAAGGGUUUUUGGACUUGGAGGCUUUUUGCUGGCUUCACCUUGAAGUGAGCUCCUCCUAAAUGAAUCAGUGGGGUCCGCUUUGCCGAUCCUUGACGUGAUAAGAUGUUUCUGCGUCUUUGGGUUUGGCACUGUCACCUGCUUCUAACUGUCUCAUUGACAAUGAUGGUGCUCCGGUCACCACCGCUCUUAUCGGUGGGAGGCUUGACCCACAAAAACAAGACCUUGACCUCAAAUCGGGUGAGACUACCCGCUGAACUUAAGCAUAUCAAUAAGCGGAGGAAAAGAAACUAACAAGGAUUCCCCUACUAACUGCGAGUGAAGCGGGAAAAGCUCAAAUUUAAAAUCUGGUGGCGUUUGGCCAUCGGAGUUGUAAUUUUAGUACGCGUCCUCCGC